rnacentral:lncRNA from 1 species
UAAUGGCAUAAGAUAAAGCACUCCUACGACUCGACACGCAAAUCCCAUGUCAUUCCAAUUAUGCAUAAGAGAAACUUGUCCACAGCUCAUUAUUCCAAACCAAAUGUACAUACAAUUCUACCUCUACAUCACAUGGCAACACAAUAUCAUACAUUUCCAGAAAUCAAUAUCCAUACUAAGACAACUUUUACAAAUUACUUUACGCCACAAAUAAAACUUGUGCCCUAUGGCACUACAGACUGGGCUCCGUUACCAGCAGCUCGGAUCCCGGCUCCGUUCCUACUCCAUCUGUAAAUGAUGAGAAGUGAGUUCACAUAAUUCAAUACGAUAAAAAUCAAGUUGCAGGUGUAGUAUCCAGUGACAAGAAAUUCAGAAAUGUUUAUAUGCAAUUAUCCUACCCAACCCAAAACAAAUUAUAGAACUCCCCUACAACUAGCCAUCAAGAUCCUACCCCAAAGGAACAAUUCGGGCAAUCAAUAGCACACACACAACAAUAAUCCAACACCUCACAUCAUCAACAUCGGCUACCCACACUCACCACGCUACUUCACAACUUUACUAGGCCACCCACACACACAAGUACCAUUAGCUCACGUCACCAACAUCGGUGACUGUAGCACCCG